AGGGCUUUACCUUAAUUAAAGGGUCUGAGUUGCAUUCAGGAGAUGUAGGUUAAUAUCCUGCAAGCCCUA
rnacentral:tRNA from 2 species